rnacentral:tRNA from 1 species
UUAAUUGAAGCCAAAAAGAGGCCUAUCAUUGUUAAUGAUAUUAUUGAGAUUUAACCUCCAAUUAAG